rnacentral:rRNA from 1 species
GACGAACGCUGGCGGCGUGCUUAACACAUGCAAGUCGAACGGAAAGGCCCUGCUUUUGUGGGGUGCUCGAGUGGCGAACGGGUGCGUAACACGUGAGUAACCUGCCCUUGACUUUGGGAUAACUUCAGGAAACUGGGGCUACUACCGGAUAGGAGCUCCUGCUGCAUGGUGGGGGUUGGAUAGUUUCGGCGGUUGGGGAUGGACUCGCGGCUUAUCAGCUUGUUGGUGGGGUAGUGGCUUACCCAGGCUUUGACGGGUAGCCGGCCUGAGAGGGUGACCGGCCACAUUGGUACUGAGAGACGGCCCAGUCUCCUACGGGAGGCAGCGGUGGGGAGUAUUGCACAAUGGGCGCAAGCCUGAUGCAGCAACGCCGCGUUCGGGAUGACGGCCUUCGGGUUGUGAACCGCUUUCGCCUGUGACGAAGCGUGAGUGACGGUAAUGGGUAAAGAAGCACCGGCUAACUACGUG